rnacentral:rRNA from 1 species
UACAGAGGGUGCGAGCGUUGUUCGGAAUUACUGGGCGUAAAGCGCGCGCAGGCGGCCUUUUAAGUCUCGUGGUGAAAUGCCGGGGCUCAACCCCGUGCCCGCCGGAGAUACUGGGAGGCUGGAGACGAGUAGAGGCAAGCGGAAUUCCGGGUGUAGCGGUGGAAUGCGUAGAGAUCCGGAAGAACACCGGAGGCGAAGGCGGCUUGCUGGGCUUUGUCUGACGCUGAGGCGCGAAAGCGUGGGGAGCGAACAGG